rnacentral:rRNA from 1 species
AACGAACGCUGGCGGCGUGCCUAACACAUGCAAGUCGAACGAGACCUUCGGGUCUAUUGGCGCACGUGUGCGUACGGCGGGGGAACCUGCCCUUAGGUUCGGUAUCACUCCCCGUAAGGUGUCCUCAUACCGGUUAAUGUCUUCCGACCAAGGAUUUCUGGCCUUUGGAUGGGCCCUCGUUGGCUUCGCCAGUUGGUAGUGUACAAGCCUACCAAGGCGAGGAUCCAUAGCUGGUCGGAGAGGAGGCUACGCCAGACUGGGCAUGAGACACGGCCCAGACUCGGACGGGAGGCAGCAGUGGGGAAUAUUGGACAAGGGGCGAUAGCCUGAUCCAGCAACGCCGGGUGAGUGAUGCUGGGGGUAGGGUUGUAAAGCCCUUUUAGCCGGGACGAUAAUGACAGUACCGGGAGAAGAAGCACCGGCUAACUACGUG